rnacentral:lncRNA from 1 species
ACACAAAAAGCUUUUUUUGAGAGAGAACUACAUGGAGUUUGAUCCCUUAAAUGGGUAUGUAGGCAUGAGGUCAAAACCUCUCCAAGUCCACUAAAAUAAAACCUCAAACACUUUCUCCCUCCCAUUCUUAACAUAAGUAAAUUUCCUUUUUCAUAAGUAGCAUUAAAAAUAAAGCGUAGACAUAAACUAAGAAAACGGCUCCUAUAGAGUACUAUAGUCACCGCGGGUGCCUAACACCUUCCCGUAGUGAAAACGACCCCCGAACUUCGAAUCUAAGGGUUUUUUUCUCAAUUUUGCCCUUCCCAAGAAAAAAUAGAGAAUAUCAAAGAUUGAAAGGUUCAAGCCUAAUU